UCCCUGGCAGUCCAGUGGUUAGGACUCGGCGCUUACACUGCCACGACCCAGGUUCAGUUUCUGGCUGGGGAA
rnacentral:tRNA from 1 species